UACAGAGGGGGCAAGCGUUGUUCGGAAUUACUGGGCGUAAAGGGCGCGUAGGUGGCCUUCUAAGUCGAACGUGAAAUCCCUGGGCUCAACCCAGGAACUGCGUCCGAGACUGGGAGGCUUGAAUCCGGGAGAGGGAUGCGGAAUUCCAGGUGUAGCGGUGAAAUGCGUAGAUAUCUGGAGGAACACCGGUGGCGAAGGCGGGUCUCUGGGCAACAACUGACGCUGAGGAGCGAAAGCGUGGGGAGCGAACAGG
rnacentral:rRNA from 1 species